CAAGGCUAAAAACUUAUAAUACGGGUGUGAAGAGACACUCCGCUCACGAGACGAGACACAAGAUUGGGUUCACGAGAACGAGACGAGACUUUAACACUAUUUUAAAGAAAACUUAAAUGAUGAAAUAUGACUGGAAACAUAGUCUUUUAUUCAAUCGAAAGUCACAAAAUGAAUAUCGAGCACUGUGAAAGGUUUUGCCAUAAACUCAAAUGGCUUCUCUGCUGUAUAACUAA